GACGAACGCUGGCGGCGUGCUUAACACAUGCAAGUCGAACGGAAAGGCCCUGCUUUUGUGGGGUUCUCGAUUGGCGAACGCGUGCGUAACACGUGAGUAACCUGUUCUUGAUUUUGGGAUAACUCCAGGAAACUGGGGCUACUACCGGGUAGGAUCUCCUGCUCCAUGGUGGGGGUUGGAUAGUUUCGGCGGUUGGGGAUGGACUCGCGGCUUAUCAGCUUGUUCGUGGGGUAGUGGCUUACCAAGCCUUUGACGGGUAGCUGGCCUGAGAGGGUGACCAGCUACAUUAGGACUGAGAUAGGGACCAGACUCCUAUGGGAGGCAGCAGUGGGGAAUAUUGCCCACCGGUCCGAAGCCAUAUGAAGCAACGCCGGGUGCGGAAUGACGGCCUUCGGGUAGAAAACCGCUUUGGCCUGAGACGAAGCGUGUGUGACGGUACUGAGUAAAGAAGCACCGGCUAACUACGUG
rnacentral:rRNA from 1 species